UACGCAGGGUGCAAGCGUUAAUCGGAAUUACUGGGCGUAAAGCGUGCGCAGGCGGUAAUGUAAGACAGAUGUGAAAUCCCCGGGCUCAACCUGGGAACUGCAUUUGUGACUGCAUUGCUGGAGUGCGGCAGAGGGGGAUGGAAUUCCGCGUGUAGCAGUGAAAUGCGUAGAUAUGCGGAGGAACACCGAUGGCGAAGGCAAUCCCCUGGGCCUGCACUGACGCUCAUGCACGAAAGCGUGGGGAGCAAACAGG
rnacentral:rRNA from 1 species